UACGUAGGGGGCAAGCGUUGUCCGGAAUCAUUGGGCGUAAAGAGCGUGUAGGCGGCUUGGUAAGUCCGCUGUGAAAGUCCAGGGCUCAACCCUGGAAUGCCGGUGGAAACUGUCAAGCUUGAGUCCGGAAGAGGCGAGUGGAAUUCCUGGUGUAGCGGUGAAAUGCGCAGAUAUCAGGAGGAACACCAAUGGCGAAGGCAGCUCGCUGGGACGGUACUGACGCUGAGACGCGAAAGCGUGGGGAGCGAAUGGG
rnacentral:rRNA from 1 species